AGGAUCGGCUAACUCCGUGCCAGCAGCCGCGGUAAUACGGAGGAUCCGAGCGUUAUCCGGAUUUAUUGGGUUUAAAGGGAGCGUAGGUGGAUUGUUAAGUCAGUUGUGAAAGUUUGCGGCUCAACCGUAAAAGGGCAGUUGAAACUGGCAGUCUUGAGUACAGUAGAGGUGGGCGGAAUUCGUGGUGUAGCGGUGAAAUGCUUAGAUUUCAAGAAGAACUCCGAUCGCGAAGGCAGCUCACUGGACUGCAACUGACACUGCCCCUCAAAAAGUGUGGGCCCCAAAAAGGGAUUAGAUACCCUGGUAGUCCACACAGUAAACGAUGAAUACUAGCUGUUUGCGAUAUACGGCAAGAGGCCAAGCGAAAGCAUUAAGUAUUCCACCUGGGGAGUACGCCGGCAACGGUGAAACUCAAAGGGAUUGACGGGGGCCCGCACAAGCGGAGGAACAUGUGGUUUAAUUCGAUGAUACGCGAGGAACCUUACCCGGGCUUAAAUUGCACCUGAAUAAUGUGGAAACAUGUUAGCCGUAAGGCAGGUGUGAAGGUGCUGCAUGGUUGUCGUCAGCUCGUGCCGUGAGGUGUCGGCUUAAGUGCCAUAACGAGCGCAACCCUUAUCUUCAGUUACUAACAGGUCAUGCUGAGGACUCUGGAGAGACUGCCGUCGUAAGAUGUGAGGAAGGUGGGGAUGACGUCAAAUCAGCACGGCCCUUACGUCCGGGGCUACACACGUGUUACAAUGGGAGGUACAGAAGGCCGCUACCUGGCGACAGGAUGCCAAUCCCCAAAACCUCUCUCAGUUCGGAUCGAAGUCUGCAACCCGACUUCGUGAAGCUGGAUUCGCUAGUAAUCGCGCAUCAGCCAUGGCGCGGUGAAUAAGUUCCCGGGCCUUGCACACACCGCCCGUCAAG
rnacentral:rRNA from 1 species